GAUGAACGCUAGCGGCAGGCCUAAUACAUGCAAGUCGAACGAGAUUAAGAGGCUUGCUUCUUAUGAAAGUGGCGCACGGGUGCGUAACGCGUAUGCAACCUACCUUAAUCAGGGGGAUAGCCCGAAGAAAUUCGGAUUAAGACCGCAUAAAAACACAGGAUAGCAUUAUCCAAUGUUCAAAUAUUUAUAGGAUUACGAUGGGCAUGCGUGUCAUUAGCUAGUUGGCGGGGUAACGGCCCACCAAGGCGACGAUGACUAGGGGAUCUGAGAGGAUGACCCCCCACACUGGUACUGAGACACGGACCAGACUCCUACGGGAGGCAGCAGUAAGGAAUAUUGGUCAAUGGAGGGAACUCUGAACCAGCCAUACCGCGUGCAGGAAGACAGCCCUCUGGGUCGUAAACUGCUUUUAUUCGGGAAUAAACCUUUCUACGUGUAGGAAGCUGAAUGUACCGAAGGAAUAAGGAUCGGCUAACUCCGUG
rnacentral:rRNA from 1 species